UAAAGAAACCUAUUAAAAGAAAAGGCUUUAAAAUCUUUACUUUCAUUUCAUUCAAGCAUCUACAAAAAAUCACCAUCACGCGCAACAUUUGAAUGCCAUUCUUUUCCAGAAAUUCCAUAAUAGUUGUUGAAGAAAUAACACUGUUAGUGUAAUAAAAUUCACUCUGUUUUUUACACUCGGCGCCUUAUGUAGCGAAUAUCUUUGAAUUAAUAAUAUCAAUCAUACUAUGUAACUGUAGUAGGUUGUUUAUCCAAAAAACAUAUGGUACGCAAAGAUAGACACUAAUUAUCAACAAUGAAUGAAUAAGAAAAGCUUUUUCAACGAAUAUUUUGAGUGAGGCAGUCAGCGUGCUCAUACUGGAUAGACCCAGAACAAGUAAGUUUACAAUAUGU